CGCGGUAAUACGUAAAAGACUAGUGUUAUUCAUCUUUAAUGGGUUUAAAGGGUACUUAGACGGUAUAUUCAGCCAGGGUACUGAUAAACUAGAGUUUUAUGCGAGGGGGUGUGUACUAGUGGAGUAGAGAUGAAAUUCUGUCAUACCAUUAUAACAGGCAACGGCGAAAGCAACCCUUUAUGUAAAAACUGACGUUGAAGGACGAAGGCUCAGUACACCAACAGGAUUAGAUACCCCAGCAGUCUGAGCAGACAAUGAUGAGUGUCAUAGGUAAGAAUUGUCUAUAAAUGAAAGUGUAAGCAUUCCACCUCAAGAGUAAUGUGGCAACGCAAAAACUGAAAUCAUUAGACCGUUUCUGAAACCAGUAGUGAAGUAUGUUGUUUAAUUUGUAGGUACGCAAAGAACCUUACCACAAUUUGUAUAUUUAUUUAUAUUAAAUACAAGAGUUGCACGGCUGUCUUCAGUUAAUGUCGUGA
rnacentral:rRNA from 1 species